rnacentral:rRNA from 1 species
GACGAACGCUGGCGGCGUGCCUAAUACAUGCAAGUAGAACGCACAGUUUAUACCGUAGCUUGCUACACCAUAGACUGUGAGUUGCGAACGGGUGAGUAACGCGUAGGUAACCUGCCUGGUAGCGGGGGAUAACUAUUGGAAACGAUAGCUAAUACCGCAUAAUAUUGAUUAUUGCAUGAUAAUUAAUUGAAAGGUGCAAUUGCACCACUACCAGAUGGACCUGCGUUGUAUUAGCUAGUAGGUGAGGUAACGGCUCACCUAGGCGACGAUACAUAGCCGACCUGAGAGGGUGAUCGGCCACACUGGGACUGAGACACGGCCCAGACUCCUACGGGAGGCAGCAGUAGGGAAUCUUCGGCAAUGGACGAAAGUCUGACCGAGCAACGCCGCGUGAGUGAAGAAGGGUUUCGGAUCGUAAAGCUCUGUUGUAAGAGAAGAACGGGUGUGAGAGUGGAAAGUUCACACUGUGACGGUAGCUUACCAGAAAGAGACGGCUAACUACGUG